rnacentral:lncRNA from 1 species
AAAAAAGAAUUAAUAAUCCUAAAAGAAAAAUAAAAAUAAAGAAUCUAAACUAGAUUUAGUUGGACUUGGAUUCGUGGAUGGUGUCGAGUGCCGGUCUCCACUGCCGGCAUCCACCAACCCGUUUACCGGAAAAACCGGUCACCUCCCCUCCCAAGACGGCCGUCUUCCCCUCCUCUCCACCGGCUACCUCCGGGAACACCCGCCCUCCGCCCCCGCAACUCCCCUCCUUCCUCCCCUUCCGCUGCCGCCGGCCGCGGACGACGUCGAGCAGGACCUCUAUCUGACCAUCGGAGAGCCGGCACCCGACCCGGUCCAUCGGCAGCAGCAGGUACGCGCCCCCGGCCAGCAGCUCCUCGUCGGCCCGCAUCCCGGCGACGCGCCGGGUCCUCGCCACCUCCUCGGCGCGCGCCACCACGUGGCCGGGGUACUCCAUCAUGAUCUCGGCAGCGCCUGCGGGGGCCUCGAUGCGGC